rnacentral:rRNA from 1 species
ACGGGAGGCAGCAGUAGGGAAUCUUCCGCAAUGGGCGAAAGCCUGACGGAGCAACGCCGCGUGAGUGAUGAAGGUCUUCGGAUCGUAAAACUCUGUUGUUAGGGAAGAACAAAUUUGUUAGUAACUGAACAAGUCUUGACGGUACCUAACCAGAAAGCCACGGCUAACUACGUGCCAGCAGCCGCGGUAAUACGUAGGUGGCAAGCGUUAUCCGGAAUUAUUGGGCGUAAAGCGCGCGUAGGCGGUUUCUUAAGUCUGAUGUGAAAGCCCACGGCUCAACCGUGGAGGGUCAUUGGAAACUGGGAAACUUGAGUGCAGAAGAGGAGAGUGGAAUUCCAUGUGUAGCGGUGAAAUGCGCAGAGAUAUGGAGGAACACCAGUGGCGAAGGCGGCUCUCUGGUCUGUAACUGACGCUGAUGUGCGAAAGCGUGGGGAUCAAACAGGAUUAGAUACCCUGGUA